CCUACGGGUGGCAGCAGUGGGGAAUAUUGGGCAAUGGGCGCAAGCCUGACCCAGCAACGCCGCGUGAGUGAUGACGGCCUUCGGGUUGUAAAGCUCUGUCUUCAGGGACGAUAAUGACGGUACCUGAGGAGGAAGCCACGGCUAACUACGUGCCAGCAGCCGCGGUAAUACGUAGGUGGCGAGCGUUGUCCGGAUUUACUGGGCGUAAAGGGGGCGUAGGCGGACUUUUAAGUGAGAUGUGAAAUACUCGGGCUAAACUUGAGUGCUGCAUUUCAAACUGGAAGUCUAGAGUGCAGGAGGGGAGAAUGGAAUUCCUGGUGUAGCGGUGAAAUGGGUAGGGAUUAGGAGGAACACAGUGGCGAAGGCGAUUCUCUGGACUGUAACUGACGCUGAGGCUCGAAAGCGUGGGGAGCAAACAGGAUUAGAUACCCUUGUAGUC
rnacentral:rRNA from 1 species